GUAGGGGGCAAGCGUUAUCCGGAUUUACUGGGUGUAAAGGGAGCGUAGACGGCUGUGCAAGUCUGAAGUGAAAGGCAUGGGCUCAACCUGUGGACUGCUUUGGAAACUGUGCAGCUAGAGUGUCGGAGAGGUAAGUGGAAUUCCUAGUGUAGCGGUGAAAUGCGUAGAUAUUAGGAGGAACACCAGUGGCGAAGGCGGCUUACUGGACGAUGACUGACGUUGAGGCUCGAAAGCGUGGGGAGCAAACAGGAUUAGAUACCCUGGUAGUCCACGCCGUAAACGAUGACUGCUAGGUGUCGGGUAGCAAAGCUAUUCGGUGCCGCCGCAAACGCAAUAAGUAUUCCACCUGGGGAGU
rnacentral:rRNA from 1 species